rnacentral:lncRNA from 1 species
CCAUGAACUGUUGCAGAUUCUACAGCUCACCAUUGACACAACAUGAACCUUUCUUUGCAGCAGACUCGUACUCCCUCGAUUCCUUUUUACAUGCACUCUUUCCUUUUUAUUCUGUUAAAAAAGAAUAACGCCUUUGUAUAUUUGGAAAGUCUUUAACCUUAAACUUCUCAUUUUACACCUAAUGACAUGCUUUUAUAGCUACAAAAAUAUCAUGGAAGGUUUUAGACCACAAGUUCUAAAGAUGCUUUUUGCAUAUGGCUAUGCCCAGUCAAACACCACUAUAUAAAAUGAAGCGGAGGGAGUAAUUACAAGGAGUAUAUCA